rnacentral:rRNA from 1 species
GACGAACGCUGGCGGCGUGCCUAAUACAUGCAAGUUGAGCGAUGAAGAUUGGUGCUUGCACCAAUUUGAAGAGCAGCGAACGGGUGAGUAACGCGUGGGGGAAUCUGCCUUUGAGCGGGGGACAACAUUGGAAACGAAUGCUAAUACCGCAUAAUAACUUUAAACAUAAGUUUUAAGUUUGAAAGAUACAAUUGCAUCACUCAAAGAUGAUCCCGCGUUGUAUUAGCUAGUUGGUGAGGUAAAGGCUCACCAGGGCGAUGAUACAUAGCCGACCUGAGAGGGUGAUCGGCCACAUUGGGACUGAGACACGGCCCAAACUCCUACGGGAGGCAGCAGUAGGGAAUCUUCGGCAAUGGACGAAAGUCUGACCGAGCAACGCCGCGUGAGUGAAAGAAGGUUUUCGGAUCGUAAAACUCUGUUGGUAGAGAAGAACGUUGGUGAGAGUGGAAAGCUCAUCAAGUGACGGUAACUACCCAGAAAGGGACGGCUAACUACGUGCCCAGCAGCCGCGGUAAUACGUAGGUCCCGAGCGUUGUCCCGGAUUUAUUGGGCGUAAAGCGAGCGCAGGUGGUUUAUUAAGUCUGGUGUAAAAGGCAGUGGCUCAACCAUUGUAUGCAUUGGAAACUGGGUAGACUUGAGUGCAGGAGAGGAGAGUGGAAUUCCCAUGUGGUAGCGGUGAAAUGCGUAGAUAUAUGGGAGGGAACACGGGUGGCGAAAAGCGGCUCUCUGGCCCUGAACUGACACUGAGGCUCGAAAGCGUGGGGAGCAAACAGG